GUUCGACUGGCUACAGGUCCCUGCCCAGACAGUGGCAGCCACAGAGGUCCCUGACGGAGACCAACAUCGGGCCCUCUGGGGCUAUUCAUGGGUACGGAAGGCCCCUGGGGGGCCAGCAGCAGCCGAGCUACAGAUCUGUGUACAACACUAGCUGGAGCUGGAGACAAGAACAAGAACAAAAAGUAACUCCAGGAUAUUCAGAUGAAGCUGAGGCUUUCAUUUCAUCCAACACUGUGAGGCGAUAGUGGCAUUCAAAAUCACCCGCUCUCACCAAUGAACACAACCCAAGGUCAGUGUGAAAUUGCAGAGCAGUACAAUAAUGUGUGUCGACAAGCUAAAACCUAGUACGAUAGCAUUAGUUGAUAGAACACUAAAGCUGUGAGAAACACACAGCAUAACACAGGUGCUAUGAUAGUGGUUGGUGGCGUUAGAUACAAAAAGGGUCAAGCUUGAUGGUUUUAUGAUGUUGAAGUUCAACUGUGGAUGUAUUUACUUUGCAUCCUGAUUUUUGUGGUGUUUGUGUACUCGCAUGUCUUAUCAAACAAAAUGUGUCAAUAUGAUGCUGGGAAAUGCUUAGGGAGUCAAUUAAAGCCAAGUAAACCAUUUUACAUCCAGAGCAAGGAGCUACGAACACAGGGCUGAAUCCUGAUCUGGGAUAUUAAUCACAUCUCAAACAUCCAUAUAAAUCAUAAAUAUUUAGGUAAGUCCUUUAGAAGACUUUACAUAAAUAUAUUAAGGCCAAGAUUUCAACAUUUACUGCAUAGUGAGAAGAAAAACUGCUGACACAUUAUGGGUCUAAACCAGGCUUAAAACUUGGGAAAUGGAUAAAUUUAUAACUCAGCAAGUUGGGAAGACAGGUUUAGACAGAGAGAUUAAUUCAUUAUUUUCGCUGGCUGCCUUUUAUGUACUAGAUGAACAUGUGGCAGAGAACAAGGGAUGUGUCCCAAAUGGUACCCUAUUCCCUAUAUAGUGCACUACAUUUGACCAGGGUAGAUCGGGG
rnacentral:lncRNA from 1 species